rnacentral:tRNA from 1 species
GCCAGGGUGGCUUAGUUGGUUAAGUGCCUGACUUAGGCUCAGGUCAUGAUACUGCAAUUCGUGGGUUCGAGCCCUGCGUAGGGCU